GAUGAAGAACGCAGCGAAAUGCGAUAAGUAAUGCGAAUUGCAGAAUCCGUGAGUCAUCGAAUCUUUGAACGCACAUUGCGCCCGCUGGUAUUCCGGCGGGCAUGCCUGUUCGAGCGUCAUUUCAACCCUCAAGCUCUCCGGAGUUUGGUGUUGGGGCGCCUGGGGCUUUUCGACCUCAGGGCCCUCAAGUCCAUCGGCGGGACCGCCAGGACACUGAGCGCAGUAGUAUUAUUUCGCUCGGUAGGAUCUUCCACGGCGGGUCGAUCUGGCCGCUAAACCCCCCAAUUCUCACCAAAGGUUGACCUCGGAUCAGGUAGGAAUACCCGCUGAACUUAAGCAUAUCAAUAAGCGGAGGA
rnacentral:misc_RNA from 1 species